rnacentral:rRNA from 1 species
UNGGAGAGGAAAGUGGAAUUCCUAGUGUAGCGGUGAAAUGCGUAGAUAUUAGGAAGAACACCAGUGGCGAAGGCGACUUUCUGGACGAAAACUGACGCUGAGGCGCGAAAGCCAGGGGAGCGAACGNGAUUAGAUACCCCGGCAGUCCUGGCCGUAAACGAUGGGUACUAGGUGUAGGAGGUAUCGACCCCUUCUGUGCCGGAGUUAACGCAAUAAGUACCCCGCCUGGGGAGUACGACCGCAAGGUUGAAACUCAAAGGAAUUGACGGGGGCCCGCACAAGCGGUGGAGUAUGUGGUUUAAUUCGACGCAACGCGAAGAACCUUACCAGGUCUUGACAUUGAUGGACAGAACUAGAGAUAGUUCCUCUUCUUCGGAAGCCAGAAAACAGGUGGUGCACGGUUGUCGUCAGCUCGUGUCGUGAGAUGUUGGGUUAAGUCCCGCAACGAGCGCAACCCCUAUCUUAUGUUGCCAGCACGUAAAGGUGGGAACUCAUGAGAGACUGCCGCAGACAAUGCGGAGGAAGGCGGGGAUGACGUCAAAUCAUCAUGCCCCUUAUGACCUGGGCUACACACGUACUACAAUGGGAGUUAAUAGACGGAAGCGAGAUCGCGAGAUGGAGCAAACCCGAGAAACACUCUCUCAGUUCGGAUCGUAGGCUGCAACUCGCCUACGUGAAGUCGGAAUCGCUAGUAAUCGCAGGUCAGCAUACUGCGGUGAAUACGUUCCCGGGCCUUGUACACA